rnacentral:rRNA from 1 species
AUGCCAGACUCUACGGGAGGCAGCAGUGAGGAAUAUUGGUCAAUGGGCGGGAGCCUGAACCAGCCAAGUCGCGUGAGGGACGACGGUCCUAUGGAUUGUAAACCUCUUUUGUCGGGGAACAAAGGCGCCCACGGGUGGGCGGAUGAGUGUACCCGAAGAAAAAGCAUCGGCUAACUACGUGCCAGCAGCCGCGGUAAUACGGAGGGAGCAAGCGUUGUCCGGAAUUACUGGGCGUAAAGGGCGCGUAGGUGGGCGCUUAAGUCAGGUGUGAAAACUCCGGGCUCAACCUGGAGACUGCUCUUGAAACUGGGUGUCUUGAGGGCAGGAGAGGAAAGUGGAAUUCCUGGUGUAGCGGUGAAAUGCGUAGAUAUUAGGAGGAACACCAGUGGCGAAGGCGACUUUCUGGACUGUACCUGACGCUGAGGCGCGAAAGCGUGGGUAGCGAACGGGAUUAGAUACCCCAGUA